GCAAUAGUAGCUCAAAAUAGAGCGUUGGUCUUGUAAACCAAAGGUUAAGUAUUUUACUUCUAUUGCU
rnacentral:tRNA from 1 species